rnacentral:rRNA from 1 species
AGUGAACGCUGGCGGUAGGCCUAACACAUGCAAGUCGAACGGCAGCACAGGAGAGCUUGCUCUCUGGGUGGCGAGUGGCGGACGGGUGAGGAAUACAUCGGAAUCUACUCUGUCAUGGGGGAUAACGUAGGGAAACUUACGCUAAUACCGCAUACGACCUACGGGUGAAAGCAGGGGAUCUUCGGACCUUGCGCGAUUGAAUGAGCCGAUGUCGGAUUAGCUAGUUGGCGGGGUAAAGGCCCACCAAGGCGACGAGCCGUAGCUGGUCUGAGAGGAUGAUCAGCCACACUGGAACUGAGACACGGUCCAGACUCCUACGGGAGGCAGCAGUGGGGAAUAUUGGACAAUGGGCGCAAGCCUGAUCCAGCCAUACCGCGUGGGUGAAGAAGGCCUUCGGGUUGUAAAGCCCUUUUGUUGGGAAAGAAAUCCAGCUGGCUAAUACCCGGUUGGGAUGACGGUACCCAAAGAAUAAGCACCGGCUAACUUCGUGCCAGCAGCCGCCGUAA